rnacentral:SRP_RNA from 2 species
GCUAGGCGUGGUGGCGGGCGCCUGUAAUCCCAGCUACUUAGGAGGCUGAGGCAGGAGAAUUGCUUGAACUCGGGAGAUGGAGGUUGCAGUGAGCCAAGAUCAUGCCACUGCACUUCAGCCUGGGUGACAGAGCAAGAUUCCGUCUCGA